CGUCCAGGCCUCCCUGAGCCCCGACGAAUCCAAAAGCAUCCUUGACAAAACCAUUUGGAUUUCACAAACCCGGAGCAUCUUCUUUUGAACAGACAGCACCGCCAAGAAGGUUCUCUUCCACCAACAACAACAUCGGAUCGAGCAAACACUCCCAAACGGGAAAAGUCUUGCAAUGAUUGUUUGGAUGAAUGGAGAUGUCCUUUGAAGACAGCAACGGAUGCCUCUCGGUCCUGGCUUGCAUCUCCUGAGUCGACUGCCUGUCAAAGGAGGCAAAGAAGUGGAUUUCUUCCACGGGAGAAAUAAAGCCUACACAGACUCCGGCUCCACUGACGAUUUAAAGAGCUGAUGUGAGAGAAGGCAGCAGGAGGCUGUAAAUACUCGGAAGGCAGAGUCGCGGCGGCCAAGCGCUGUGCCAAAUAAAGCGGAAGGAAUGCAGUCAGAUAUACCUCUCGGUAUGGUCCCCAAUUACUUCCAGAUGGCUUCCUCUAGUUUAUCCGGGAGACCUCGCCGUGCUAGAACAGGCUUGGGCGUGGAUCCAUUUUCCAAAAAAGUCUUCGGCCGGAUUGGUUGGUUUGGAUGCCCAUAACAGCAUGGCCUCUGCUGCUAAUUUUUUUCGGCAGCAACAGAACAACGGCUGUCGAAAACCUGGUUGCUUUCAGUUUCUUUCAGCUCUAAGACGACUUGCAAAUAAAAGAAGGCACUCUGAAGUGAGAGGAAACUGUGCGAACCUCGGCUCCCCGGGAUACCUGAAGGGUAGCAUGAAGGUGAAAAGCCAUGCGUCAAAGGCUUUUCUACGGAAACGAUGUCCUUCCCUAUUUGCAAAAUCUCCAAAGCAGAACAUCCCUCAGAGCCGGGGGUGGCGAAGCGUGGCUUGGCCUUAUAAGUCAAAAGGGACAGAGAUGUGUUAAGCCAAUGUGACUCAUUUUAUCCUCAGGAACAGUGGAGUUCUGCUUGCAUUACACCAUCUUAAUCAAAUGGCACAAUGACCUCCUGAAGAUCUUGUCUGGGAAGGAAAGCAUUUAAGAAAUUGUCCUCUGUCCAGCAGACCUAUAUUUUUUGCCAUGCUCAGCAGCCACAGCCGACUGAAUUUUAAGCGCACGUAUUAUGCUUCCUUAACUGAAUGCAUAUUCAGUUCAACAUUUUGUUUCCCUAGUGAACACUGUAUUUGUAUUUGUCUUGAGCAGGGGUCCCCGAACUAAGGCCCGCGGGCCAGAUGCGGCCCUCCAAGGUCACUUACCUGGCCCCUGUCCUCAACUUUAGACUUAGGGUUGACCUAAGCCUGAAACAACUUGAAGGCACACAACAACAACAAUCCUAAUUUUGGACUAUUUCAUCAUAGUCCGGUCCCCCAACAGUCUGAGGGACCGUGAACCGACCCUUCACUUAAAAAGUUUGAGGAUCCGUGGUUUUGAGUCUCCAUUCUGUACAAACCAUGAUCAAGAUCCUAAAACACAGAACGGGAGUGUAAAAUUAUGCCGUGGAUUUAUGUGGCAGUUGCACAUGCACACACUGUCUCAUUAAUAAAUUGCAGUGUCACACAAUCUGUUGUGCAGGUACAUCUGCCUCGUGCAAAAUGUGCAACCAUGCACAACAUGUCUGAGCAUUGUGCAUACCUAUGAUCAGAGACGGUCCACCGGUGAGGCCAAUUAGGCGUUCGCUUGUGGCGCAUUGUUACCGGGGGCGCUGUUGAGGAGCCCCCGCGUGCGCCUGGAGUCCCAGCCUGCCUAGGCUGCUCCACACGGUGCCAGGCCUGAGCAAUCACUCCAUGAAGCGCCAGGUAAUCGACUGCGCGGACGGGUAGGCCUUCCGUGUCCACGAGGGUGAUUGGAAGGCCUGCUCAUGUGCACAGGCCCAUCAACCACGCUUUUUGGGAGCUGGGCCUGUGCGCAUGCGCAGGAAGAAGCAAUCGACCGCACGGUCGAUUGGAAGGCCUGCGCAUGCGCACAGGCCCAUCGACCAUGCUUUUUGGGUGAUGGGCCUGUGCGUGUGCGCAGGCCUUCCAAUAGGGUUGAUUGCUUCGGCCUGCACACGUGCACAGGCCCAUCACCCAAAAAGCAUGGUCGAUGGGCCUGUGCGCAUGCGCAGGCAUUCCAAUUGCCCCCGCAGAUGGGUGACUGGGGCAUCCGUGCUCUCCAGGGGUCUGGCACUGGUAUUUUUUAGCGAUUUGUUUGUGGGGGGUGCCAAAAUUCUGGUCGCCUACUCCCGAAAAUUACCUCGGGACGGCUCUGCCUAUGAUCAACAUAAAUGCAUAUGAAGGAGCAGUGCCUAGGCAUGCGCAAUGGUGAUGCGAACGCAUUGGUCAGGUGGCCCUGGGGACUGCAUCUUAUUUUCAAAGUAGUUCCUUCAUGGAGUAUGCAGAUUAGUUGCAGGAGUCAUGUGUCUGUUGAGAUGGACCCAGGUUUCCCCCAUAGUUUGGUAUGGGAGAUAGAAUCAAAAGCUGGUCUGAAGUCUAUGAAUGCAGCAUAGAGAGAGGAUGACCUGUGGGAGGAAUAUUUUUCUAUGAGGUGUUGCAAUACUAUGCACUUAGAGAUUCCCAGAGAAGUGUUCUCAGAAUUUUUUAAAAAACCCUUUUUACUCAAGGUUUCCCACUUUCAUGAUGGGGUCCUGCACCCCUAACCACAUGGAACUGACUGUAGAUAAAUAAUAAUAAUAAUAAUGAUAAUAACAACAACAACAACAACAACAACAACAACUCUAGUUGGCUGUUGUAAACUAAUUUGGAUCCUUGUUUGGAUUUUUAUAUAAUUUUUAUAUAAUUUUGUUUGACUACACCUAGUUUAAUUUAUUGAUGUUAGGUUUAAUUUAUUGAUGUUAGACUUUAAAUUGAUGUGAGGUUUUAAUUUUAUUUUUAUAUGUGCGGUUUCUCUGGAAUUUUUUAUGUUUAGUAUUUGUUUGUUUAUGGAGGCAUUGAAUGUUUGCCAUUUUAUGUUGGAAUCCACCCUGAGUCCCCCAAAUAAAGUUUUAUUAUUUUAUUGUAUGACACAGCAAACAAGAUACAGUAGAGUCUCACUUAUCCAACACUCGCUUAUCCAACGUUCUGGAUUAUCCAACACAUUUUUGUAGUCAAUGUUUUCAAUACAUCGUGAUAUUUUGGUGCUAAAUUCAUAAAUACAGUAAUUACUACAUAGCAUUACUGCGUAUUGAACUACUUUUUCUGUCAAAUUUGUUGUCUAACAUGAUGUUUGGUGCUUAAUUUGUAAAAUCAUAACCUAUUUAUGUUUAAAAGGCUUUUUCUUAAUCUCUCCUUAUUAUCCAACAUAUUCGCUUAUCCAACGUUCUGCCAGCCCGUUUAUGUUGGAUAAGUGAGACUCUACUGUAUUAUUAUUAUUAUUAUUAUUAUUAUUAUUAUUAUUAUUAUUAUAUUUUAUUUUUCUAUCCCGCAACCAUCUCCCCGUGGCGGCUAACAUGGGGCUGAGCCCAACACAGAAACAGAGUAUAAAAAAUUAAAACACAUAUCAAUAACUAAAAACAAUAAAUAAACACAUAUGUAAGAUUAUAAAUGCAGCUUACCUUGAUAAGAGUGUUGCAAAUAUUGAUAGAGAAUUAAAACGCCUAUGGCCUCUUUGUAACCCAAAAUAAAGAGUGCCGCUUUUACGCAAGCAUGUCUUUGAAUAAUACGCGUUGUGUUCUCUAUUUGUAGCUUUAAUGCAUUUCUGGAAGGAGGCAAUAAGGUAAAACGGGGAAGAAAACACGCUGGGAUAUUCAUCCAACUCAUUCCCAUUUUAUAAUUAUGAGAAAUGAUACCUGGUUUUAAGCAUAUUAUUUGCUUUGUUGAAACCCUAGAAUGGGUUAUUUGUUUGACUCUUUGUCUCCAUGCUGCGGGAUACACAUCCACACACUUUCACAAAACAACCAGAGCCGGGAUGUAAUUGAAUAGGGCCUUCUAGCCAUUUAGCAGAUGUAUUCAUGUAUAUUGAAAUUAAUGACCAUGAAAUCUGCAUAAUUAAACCUGAAUAAUAAGACAAAGAUAGUGUUCAGGGGUGUUUUCCCCUCCCGCCCCUUUCUUUCCAAACGAGGAUCAUCCUUCUGUCUUGGAUCAUACCCGUCUCAAUCACAUAUAUAGGAAAAGGCUCCAAAGUAUUUCCUUCCAUUUUGACAGCACUUUGAAAAACCUCCUGCUUUCAAAACCCACAUCUGUCCUCUUUUGAGAAUGCACCAGCUGGGCCACAAAAAGAGAAGCAGACGAGCAUUUAUUCACCUGGAAUAUUAAAGAAAAGGGACUUUUAAAGAACAAAAAGGAAAUGCGGACGGGUAGUUUGUAAACAGGUAUUAACCACAAUAAAGAAAUGGAGCUUUGAAAGAAUCCCAGUGUACCAGGCUACCAUUAAACUUUGGGGAAACUCCAGACAUUCCUUGACUUCUGUUAACGCAGAAGUCCAUAAACAUUUUGGAGUGACUAGGAGUGACGUCCGGUCCAAUGUGGGUUUUGUGGCCAGUGUAGACAGACCCCGAGUCCCAUCCUCUUCCAUGCAGGCAUCUAGAGCUAAAGCACUUCACAGGCCCCUUCUAGACAUAUUCCAGGAUCUGAUCCCAGAUUACCUGAUUUGCUUAUCUCAUAUUGUAUGGCAGUGGAGACUCAUAUUGAAGGGACCAUAAGCCAGAAAAUAGUGAACUUUUGCCUAUGUGGCUUUGCCUUUGCAUAUGCCCCUCCCUCCCUUCCUGUGAGAUG